CAAUAGCGUAUAUUUAAGUUGUUGCAGUUAAAAGCUCGUAGUUGGAUUUUGGGUGCGGCAGGCCGGUCCGCCGUUUCGGUGUGCACUGGCAGGCGGCAUCUUUCUGUCGAGGACGCGCUCCUGGUCUUUAUUUGAUCGGGACGCGGAGUCGGCGCAGUUACUUUGAAAAAUUAGAGUGUUCAAAGCGGGCAAUCGCUUGAAUACAUUAGCAUGGAAUAAUAGAAUAGGACUUUGGUUCUAUUUUGUUGGUUUCUAGGACCGAAGUAAUGAUUAAUAGGGACAGUUGGGGGCAUUAGUAUUUAAUUGUCAGAGGUGAAAUUCUUGGAUUUAUGAAAGACUAACUACUGCGAAAGCAUUUGCCAAGGAUGUUUUCAUUAAUCAAGAACGAAAGUUAGGGGGAUCGAAGACGAUCAGAU
rnacentral:rRNA from 1 species